UACGAAGGAUCCAAGCGUUGUCCGGAUUUACUGGGUUUAAAGGGAGCGUAGGCGGAUCUUUAAGUCAGUGGUGAAAGCUCUCAGCUUAACUGGGAAACUGCCAUUGAAACUGAAGAUCUCGAGUAUGGUUGAGGUUACUGGAAUGUUGCAUGUAGCGGUGAAAUGCUUAGAUAUGCAACAGAACACCAAUUGCGAAGGCAGGUAACUAAGCCAUAACUGACGCUGAGGCUCGAAAGCGUGGGGGAGCAAACAGG
rnacentral:rRNA from 1 species